UACCCGCUCUCCGAGUGGUGGGGACGCUUAUUGGGCCUAAAGCAUCCGUAGCCGGCUGGACCAGUCCCCUGUUAAAUCCAGCGAUUCAAUCGUUGGACUGCGGGGGAUACUGUCCGGCUAGGGGGCGGGAGAGGCCGACGGUAUUCCCGGGGUAGGGGUGAAAUCCUAUAAUCCCGGGAGGACCACCAGUGGCGAAGGCUGUCGGCUAGAACGCGCCCGACGGUGAGGGAUGAAAGCUGGGGGAGCGAACCGG
rnacentral:rRNA from 1 species